rnacentral:rRNA from 1 species
GGUCAAGCUACAAAGGGCGCAUGGUGAAUGCCUUGGCAUCAGGAGCCGAUGAAGGACGUGAUAAGCUGCGAUAAGCUUCGGGUAGGCGCACAUAGCCUGAGAUCCGAAGAUCUCCGAAUGAGGAAACUCACAUGGGAAACCCCAUGUAUCAUUAAGUGAAUACAUAGCUUAAUGAAGGUAACCCAGGGAACUGAAACAUCUAAGUACCUGGAGGAAGAGAAAGAAAAAUCGAUUUUCUUAGUAGCGGCGAGCGAAAGGGAAAGAGCCCAAACCGGAAACUUGUUUCCGGGGUUGUGGACAUAACAUAAAAGUGGAGGCUAUUGUAACUGAAGAGAACUGGAAAGUUCCACCGUAGAAGGUAAUAGUCCUGUAAGUGAAACGAGAAGACCACGAGUUAUGAUCCAGAGUACCACGAGACACGUGAAACCUUGUGGGAAGCAGGGAGGACCACCUCCCAAGGCUAAAUACUACCUGAUGACCGAUAGUGAAGCAGUACCGUGAGGGAAAGGUGAAAAGAACCCCGGGAGGGGAGUGAAAUAGAACCUGAAACCGUGUGCCUACAACCGCUCAGAGCCCCUUAUGAGGGUGAUGAGGUGCUUUUUGUAGAACGAGCCAACGAGUUACGGUAUGUAGCAAGGUUAAGUACUUAAGGUACGGAGCCGAAGGGAAACCGAGUCUGAAUAGGGCGACUAGUUGCAUGCCGUAGACCCGAAACCGGGUGACCUAUCCAUGGCCAGGUUGAAGCGAGGGUAAAACCUCGUGGAGGACCGAACCACGUUGCUGUUGAAAAAGCAUGGGAUGAGCUGUGGAUAGCGGAGAAAUUCCAAUCGAACCCGGAGAUAGCUGGUUCUCUCCGAAAUAGCUUUAGGGCUAGCGUCGAGUAUGAGUAGUGGAGGUAGAGCACUGAAUGGGCUAGGGGGCAUAGCGCUUACCGAACCUUAUCAAACUCCGAAUGCCACAUACUUUGAGCUCGGCAGUCAGACUACGAAUGAUAAGAUCCGUGGUCAAAAGGGAAACAGCCCAGAUCGUCAGCUAAGGUCCCAAAGUGUAAGUUAAGUGGGAAAGGAUGUGAGAUUUCUAAGACAACUAGGAUGUUGGCUUAGAAGCAGCCAUUCAUUAAAAGAGUGCGUAAUAGCUCACUAGUCGAGAGAUCUUGCGCCGAAAAUGUAACGGGGCUAAACUUACCACCGAAGCUACGGGCUUGAACUUAUGUUCAAGCGGUAGGAGAGCGUCGUAACCGGGCUGAAGUCGUACCGUAAGGAGCGGUGGACUGGUUACGAGUGAGAAUGUUGGCAUCAGUAGCGAGAUGUGGGUGAGAAUCCCACAGGCCGAAAACCUAAGGUUUCCUCAGGAAGGUUCGUCCGCUGAGGGUUAGUCGGGACCUAAGCCGAGGCCGAAAGGCGUAGGUGAUGGACAACUGGUUGAUAUUCCAGUACCACUACCAUCGUUAUUAUCGAUGGCGUGACGCAGGAGGAUAGUGUGUGCUAGCUAUUGGAUGCUAGUCUAAGCGUUUAGGCAGUGAGAGUAGGCAAAUCCGCUCUCAUAAUGCUGAGGCGUGAUGGGGAAGGUUCUACGGAACCGAAGUACAUGAUUCCACGCUGCCAAGAAAAGCGUCUAGAGAGAGAAGUAGUGCCCGUACCGCAAACCGACACAGGUAGGUGAGGAGAGAAUCCUAAGGCCGGCGGAAGAAUUACAGUUAAGGAACUCGGCAAAUUGACCCCGUAAGUUCGCGAGAAGGGGUGCCUACGAGAGU